rnacentral:tRNA from 1 species
GGGCGCGUAGCUCAGUUGGUAGAGCAGCGGACCCUUAAUCCGUCGGUCCAGGGUUCGAGCCCCUGCGCACCCACCA